rnacentral:rRNA from 1 species
UACGAAGGGGGCUAGCGUUGUUCGGAAUUACUGGGCGUAAAGGGCGCGUAGGCUGUGCUGUAAGUCAGGCGUGAAAGGCCCGGGCUCAACCUGGGAACUGCGUUUGAUACUGCGGCGCUGGAAUGCAGGAGAGGAUGGCGGAAUUCCCAGUGUAGAGGUGAGAUUCGUAGAUAUUGGGAAGAACACCGGUGGCGAAGGCGGCCAUCUGGCCUGCAAUUGACGCUGAGGCGCGAAAGCGUGGGGAGCAAACAGG